GCUUAAGGCCAUAACAACCUGUCUGUGUCUGAUUUCGUCUGAUCUUCGAAGCUAAGCAGGGUCGGGACUGGUUAAUACUAGGAUGGGAGACCGCCUGGGAAUACCAGAUGCUGUAAGUU
rnacentral:rRNA from 1 species